rnacentral:piRNA from 1 species
AACACUGUCAAGAUGUUUUUAGGACAAGAC